rnacentral:rRNA from 1 species
CCUACGGGAGGCAGCAGUGGGGGAUAUUGCACAAUGGGGGAAACCCUGAUGCAGCAACGCCGCGUGAGUGAUGACGGUCUUCGGGUUGUAAAGCCCUGUCUUCAGGGACGAUAAUGCCGGUACCUGAGGAGGACGCCACGGCUAACUACGUGCCAGCAGCCGCGGUAAUACGUAGGUGGCGAGCUUUUUCCGGAUUUACUGGGCGUAAAGGGAGCGUGAGCGGGCUUUUAAGUGAGGUGGUAAAUACUCGGGCUCAACUUGAGUGCUGCAUUUAAAACUGGAAGUCUAGAGUGCAGGAGAGGAGAAUGGAAUUCCUAGUGUAGCGGUGAAAUGCGUAGAGAUUAGGAAGAACACUAGUGGCGAAGGCGAUUCUCUGGACUGUAACUGACGCUGAGGCUCGAAAGCGUGGGGAGCAAACAGGAUUAGAUACCCCAGUAGUC